AAGACUUCCACAGAGGAGGUGGCAAGCCGGAACAAGGCACACAAAUGCCAGCUGAGUGGAAGGUCAACCAGUCCAACUUCUCAUGUUUCAGAAGAGGAAAGCAAGGUCUGGAGAGGGAACGUGGCUUGCCCAAGAUAUGUUUCAAACUUUGAUGAAAAGCAGGGAAGUUUGGGAAGAAAAUCCAAGACUUCUCUGGAGAGAGGUAAGAUUUCUGCAUUAUAGAUUCUUUCUUUGUUUUACAUCAUUACAUAUGAGACCUUCGCUUUCCAAGGUCUCAUUUGUACAAUGAAGAGAAAACUGCUAUGCCCCUGACUCCGUCCAAGGGCCUCUGGAACAUUCUAGAAUUGUAUUUCCACAGUUAGCGCUGCUCUGAUUUGGGAAAAGAAGAAUUGAAGAUUUUUGUAGUGUUGGCUCUGACUUCCCUUCUUAGCAAAACUUCUAAUGUCCUAGUGGACGUGGCAACAGCUUGAAA
rnacentral:lncRNA from 10 species